rnacentral:tRNA from 1 species
AAGGGUAUAGCUCAAGUGGCAGAGUGCAUGCUUAGCAUGCAUGAGGUCCUGGGUUCAAUCUCCAGUACCUCCU